CUAGCAGGGCUAUUUAAAUUAGUUAAAAUUAAAUAUAUAUCACAUUUUAGUAUGUUAUGUAUCUUAUCUUAUCUUAUAUAAUACAGACGUUACUUCAAAAAAGAAGAUUAUUACGUCCUACGCGUCAUGCAUUUAGUCAUGCAUAUUAACCAAUGACUUAAAUUCUGCCAAGUCACUGGUUUUCCUGGCUAGCUCAGGCAACCCAUUCCAUGCUCUAAUAGCACUAGGGAAGAAGGAGUAUUUGUACAAAUUUGUCCUAGCAUAUGGGACGAGGAAUGUGCCUUUAUCUUUGUGUCUUUCAGAGUAUUUUAUUUGAGAACAACAUAUCUUGUAACACUGGAAAUGUUCAUUGCAUUGUUUUAGAGUUUCAACAGGAAUGAGAACUAAAAUAAAUUGAAUACUUCCUUUUUGUAUUCAUGAUAAAUGGAAACAACAGUAUCCCAGUCAAAGUAUAACACACAUGAUGAUGACAUCUUUAUUUUUGAAGGUGGUACAUCAGAAGCUAACCAGGAGUCUGGAAGAAUGAUGCAAAUCAUCCUACCAGAGGGAACAAUCAUUCAAACAAGAGUGUUUUCUCUUGAGACAGCUUAUGAAUUCAAAGAGAAAUGCCUUGGAGUGAACUAUCCAUGUCUAAAAGACAUAGCUGUAUACAUGUGCAAAGACAGUUAUGGUGAAUUAGUAGAAACCAAAUUAUCUGAUGAAGCUGAGUUUAAUGGUUUGCUGGAUGAUUACGAAUACAUUCGAAUAAGAUCUUUAGAUAAUGAAGCCUCUGCCAGUAAAACUUUGAAACCAGUAGUUAAAAUGAAGAUUUGAACUGUCACUCAACUAACUUUGUAUUGGAAGUAAUGCACAAAAGUUUGUAUUAAUACUCUUUAGAUUUAAUAACAUAAAAAUUCCAUUAACUUUGUUUAAGGAAUUUAUAAGAAAUUCAUUUAAAGCUUUAUUCUACCUGUUGAGAUUAAAACAUUAUGGUGCUAUUUCUAAAUGUUGAUAAUUGUAUAGAUAAUUAAUAUGAAAUAAAUUUAAUUUAAUUUUUUUUUUCAUAUAUAUAUAAUUGUUGAACAUUUGCCUUAUUACAGUUUAUGUUUUGAACAAAUUCAAUGUAACAUCAUGUUCAAUAGGAGCAGCCCUCUUUAUAAUUCUUCCCUUCCCAAAAUAUACUCACUCACACAUUUUUGUCUGUGACUUCUAGCCAUAAAUGUAAAUACCAUUGUGAAGCUAGUUGCUGAAACAAUGAAUACAUAGGACAUAUAUAAUUGAAGCACUAGGGACCGAAUUUCCCUUGCGCUGCCUUUAUAUAUGUAAUAUGUAUACAUCAUUCUGUGAUUUCUUGUAUCACUCAUGUUCCCUUUGGAGAAAAAAAAAUUAUACAUACAACCUCUGACCACUCUUUGAACUCUCAGACAUAUAUUGAAAUAUUUGAAAGGCUUGAUGUUGUUCUGUUUAUGGUAGGAGCCGUUAUUGGUUUGUUUUGUUGUAUCUUUUUCAUUGUGAUGCUCUUCUACCAAGACAUACAUGACGUUUUGUGUUUGUAAGUUCAUGAGACACACAAACACACUUCUUCUUCUUCCUUGUUCUCAUUUUCAUGUUGCAGCGUUCAAAUGACUAGACCAAUAUAUGAGAUGAACUGUGCAGUGGUUUCCAAAUCAGGGAGCUCUCCAUAUAGUUUUCUUUCAAUUGGGGUGUUUUGGGGCCAGUGUCUUGUACUGGCCUCUUGGUAAAGAGAGCAAUUUUGAAGGACAUGGUCAGCAUUCUAUGGUGAUACUCCACAUGGGCAGAUUAUACUGGUUCCUAUUUUGAGCUUCCUGUUCAUAUUUUGUCUCAUUCUGUUGGUUCCAGUCCUGAGUCGUAAAAUUAGAUGUUGAUCUUGUUAGGAUAGCUUUUAAGGCAUCAUCUUUCUUGUGAUUCGGAUGAGAGCUUGUCCAUUUCUCAUUUUUUUAUUCACUAUUAGUGUCUUCUUUCUUCUGGAUGGAAUGCAAUGUUUAAUUUUGUGUUUGUUCUCCCACACUUGGUGAGUGUGUAAGCCUUCUCUAGUACAAACACACUCAUUUCUGCAGUUGUUUCAAAGAAAAUAAAAGAUUGUUUUUACAAAGUAUUCACAAUGUUGAGUGACGUACCAGUAAAGUAAAGUUUCCCUUUCAUACCUUGCGAUUCAUGGGGCAGAUGAUGUUAAGGUCAUUUGUUUCUAUGGCCAAAGGUUAACAAGCAGUGUGUCAUGUGGCCAGCACAAAGAUCAACUGCCUUUACUUUCCCCAACUAAAGUCAGGUACCCAUUAGAGUUGGGUGGACUCAGGGGCGCGUAAAAAUUCCAAACUUAAAUUCUAGUCUUCACGGAGACCCAGGUUAGGAAGCAAAGCACUUAACCACUCAACUACCACAUCCUAGUACCAGUACUAGUACAAGUACCAGUUCUUGAACAAAUAAAGGAAGUCUAUAUUGAUCAGUGAGUGGUAUUUAGCCAAUAUAUAACUAGAAUUAAUUGAAAAAAAUUUAUUUAUUGAAUUAUAAUUAAACAUUGCAUUUAGUUUUUAUCUUUUUUUUUUCAUAAGUAUUGUUGUAUACCAGUAUAUACAAAAAUCUAUAUAAAAAAAACACCCUCAUUUAGUAUAUUAACAAUGUAAUGAUUUAUAAACUUUGAGCAUUGGUUAAAAAUUGAAUGUGGUAAGGGAAGACUGUGAGUAUAAAUUUUUAUUGAUUUUGUUUAUGGGUUGUUUUUUUUUCAUUUGUUGAUGUAGCUUUAACAUUUCACUGAAAACCACAAGCUGUUGAAUACAAGACAAAAAAAGAAAAAAAAAUGUUUUUGUUUAUUUUGGUUAAAUGAUUGUGUGUCUGCAUGUUUUAGGUUUAUUUGUCCAGUAGUUCUUGUAGUUUGUUCUAAACUCUCCUAAGUAAAAAAAAAGUUAGUUUCAACAGUUAAAGCAGUUGGAGGCCAAACAAAAUAGAUAUCAGAUCAUAGUGACAUGAAUAGGUGAACAUGAUCAAUGUGUUAAAUUGUUAAAUUUAAAAUGUGUAAAACUUAUACUUUUUUAAAAAUACUUAAUUUAUUUCUAAAUUUCAAUUUUAGUUUUUAAAUUGUUGCUUUUUCAAUUUUUUAAAAAUAAAAGUAAUGAAAAACAUUAAAUGAUUUUAAAUAAUUUGUUAAAAGAAAGUUUUUAGGAUUUAAAUCAUUUUACUUUAUUACCCAGUAAGUUGUUAGCCUCCUUUAUUGGUUGAUCAACUUUGGUUCAUCUCAUUGCAAUAAGAUGAAAGCCUUGGCAUUAGCUGUGGAUGGAGCAUUUCUGCCUUAUUAAGCUACUGUAAAAACUAAAAAUUAUAUUUUACGUUUUCGUACUUGAAUAAAACAAAUGUUGAAAACAUCAUCUUGAAUUGCCAACAUUAAUUGGAAAACUUUUCCAUAGACUUUUAGUUCUUGAAAUGAAACAUUACCAUUUGUAAUGUGUGGCUCCAGAAUAUUUGAUGGGAACAUUUUAAUUGCAAAAACCUUUACAAAAACUAAAUAAAUAAAGGAUGGCUCAUGUGAGGUAUGCUUUAAAUUGUCAAGCGAGAGUAUCAGGGACUGAAUUGAGCCCUUCCCCCCUAGCUAUCCCUGUCUCCCUUCAGGAACUUAAAAUGGAAUAUUUUUUUUUUUUACUUAUUUAAAAGUGUGUAACAUUUAAGACAAAAAUAAAAGAUGUUUUAAGUAAAAAACAAACUGUCCAGUACAGUUGUGAACAGAUAACUCAAUAACAUUCACGCUUCAAGACAGAAAAGCAAACACCCUAUUUGUUAAGAUAAGCAUUUUCUUUUGAAAACCAUUUGCAUUGUACAUGUUUAUGUUCAAUUAUUAAAGAUUCUAUAUCAUAUCAUAUUUAGCCAAAAGUCCAAACACAGAUUUAUGUACAUAACACUAUCUGAAUAAGAAUAAGCUUUAAUACCUUUUUUUUUUUAAAGAAAAAGAAAGCUGUGUCCUUUUUUCUUAUUCUGUGCUAAAAGGUUCCCCUUUCAGACCUUAUGACCUAUAGGACAGAUGAUGUUAAGGCCAUCUGUUUCUUUGGCCAAGGAUUAAUGAGCAUGGUGUCAUGUGGCCAGCACAAUGACCAACUGUCCUUACUUUCCGUAACUUAAGUCAGCUUGGAUGGACUCAGGGGGGCCCUAAAAAUCCCAAAAUUCAAUUUUCACCUUAGAUUCAAACCCAGUACCCCAGGUUUGGAAGCCAAGUGCUUAGCCAAUCAGCCACCAUGCCCCCAUUCUGUGCUAAAGAUAGAAAAAAAAAUCAGAACACAAUCAUACAGGUAACUUAAAACAUUUUUUUUCUACCAGUGGAGUUUGAGUAGAUGAUGGAAUUUUUUUUUUCUUUUUCUUAAGAAAAGAAUAUUUUGUCCUAGUCUGAGAAUGCAGGGAUUGAACAUCAUGAGCUGGAGUUAAAUUCACUAUGGUACCACAGUGUCAACCAUCCUUUUUUUUUUAUCAAACUGAUGAAGUAAAUCUUUGAAGAUUUGCAUGUUGUGGAUGAAAUCAUUGUGUGCUAUUCUACUCUUUAGGCUAAUUUUCAUAUUGAUAUUAAUGUGUUUCCUAGUAAGAUAACAUAGCAAUAGCAUACAUCCAAUAUCAAGAAAUUUGAUCUAAAUAUAAAUGGCUAUAUAUAUAUAUAUUACAAAUUUUUUUUCAUCAGGAAAGUAAGGGGGAGGGGGGAGCUCAAAUGAAAAUUAUAGGAAAUGACUAAUUGGGAAUUUCCAUUUGUAUUUGUGGUUAGGGACAAAGAGUUAAAAAGUAACACUAUUUGAAUAUCUUUUUCAGCUAACUUUUGGCAGUGUAAAUCCAUAUCUAGUUGUUUAAUGUAAAUGCUGAUAUGAAAUGCAUAUUAGCCAUUCAGUGGAACACAUUACAAUUUAUAGUGUUCUGGUUUCUAAAUAAUCUAAAGUUUUGAAUUAAAAAUCUAGAUGUACACAAUGUAGGCAUAGGCUAUACACAUGUAGCCUAAAUGUAUGUAUGAUGAUGUAAUCUACUGUAGCUGAAUAGAUUCUAGAUCUAGAUCCCUAACCCUAUCUCAAGAAACAGAUCUAGAUUUCCUCAUUUAAAAAAAAACAAAUUAAAAUGACCAAGCAUGCUCCUAAAUAACAUUUAUAAUUAAUGUAGGCUUUCUUGCACAAAUAUAUUGAUAAUCAAUGUUGAAUUAAAUGCAAAAUAUAUAAAAAACAUGGGAAACUAUUUAUGCAUAAAAUCUAACAGAAGCAAUGCCAAUAAAAAAAGAGAAAUACAUGGACCAGAGGCAUGUGAUUCUAAAUCCAAAAGUAUUCCUGUAUUAUACCCUGAUGGUAAAACAAUUCAUAGAAAUAUAUUUGAACAUGAAACUGCUCAUGAGUUUUUGCAAAGCUGUUUUAAUGAACAGAUGAUUUACUAUGAGGUUAUGUUGGAGUUACCAUUAAAAGGACAAAGAGUUCUAAAACAUGAGGAUGAUUUUACUGAAUACUGGGAUGAUUUAGUAACUAUACGUAUUGUUCUACAAGGAACUGGAACAAAUCGUGACCCUGAUCCAUCUCUCCUUGGUGACAUUCAGUAUAAAACACCUGGUACACCACCAUAAAAAGAUACACUGUGUAUCUUCUUGCUGAACUUAUUGUACUGUUAAACUGCUGUUAGAACAAAUUUUUUGUUGUUAUUCAUUAAACUGUGUACAUGACUUACAAAAGCUCAUUGUUCUGUUGGCCAAUAUUGAAGUUUCAAUUAUCUGCUUGACUUUUAUGCUCUUGUUUUUAUUGGAAUUGAUGCAGUACACCUAAUUCAUGUCAUCAUCAUUGUUAACCAUGUUAUAAACAUGGUCAGCCUGCUCAUGGCUGGAAAAAAGCUAAAUAUCUUCCACCUCCAAUGCCUAAGACGGCUCUUUAAAAUAAAGUGGCAAGAUAAAAAAAAAACAAUAAGGAAGUGCUACGAAGAGUAGGGUGCCAGGACAUCCGCUGUGUUAUCCGUAGCAGAUGUCUUGUCUGGUUUGGUCAUGUUCAUAGAAUGCCACAAGGUCGACUUGCACAAGGCAUUCUGUAUGCUGAUCUAACAGAAGGCAGGAGAGCUGAUGGUCAUCCACUUCAAAGGUAUACCUAUGUAUGCAAACGUGACAUGAAGCUCUUCAAAAUGGACCCUUACAGCUGGGGAAAAGUGGCACUGGGUAGAUCUACACAUUGAGAGAGAGCAUAAAGGAAGGGUCCCGAAUUGCAGAUGCCAUACACAACAGUAGCAGAAAGAAGGGUGAAAAUGCAAUGGCGCCUGGUGAUUACAGCUGCCCAACCCGUGACCGCAGCUGUUUAUCAAGGAUUGGUCACACAAGAAGUUGGAAAGGGAAAAUAUCGUCUCUUGAGACGUAAAAUGCCACAGACACAUUAUUGUUAAACUACUAUUUGGAACUAAAUUUAAAAAAAAAUGAUUUGUAGAAUUAUUUCGUUUCUAAAAAAUUGUUCAUAAUGAAACAGAAUUUAUUGUAACAUAAAAAAUAGGAGAAACUAUUUAUAAUUUUGAAAAAUUUAGGAGUAUAUGUGGGAAAUACUUUCAUAAGAAAUCAUCAAAUUUUCAUCUGUCCCUUGACUUACCUGCUGUGACUUUGCAUAACCUGUUCCCUCCACUUUUCCUUUUGACAUCAAGUCAUGUCUUACAAAAUGACUGAGCCAGCUCAGUUUUCACUUCUUUACAGUGUCGAGGACUUCCUCCUUUUUGCCCGCCAGUGUUGACUUGUAAAAAUACAAACUCAUUUGUCACUUUUCCUGGUAUUUGAUACCCAGCAUUUUUCUGUAACAUUUACUUGUUAAGGCUUGGAUUCAUCUUUUAGCAUUAGCGUUCAGUGUCCUAUUUUCACUAUCAUAUAAUAGUUAGACCACUAGCAAAGAAUACAGUUUUAAUUUUACUUGGAAGCUGUUACUUUUCCAGAUUUUCCACAGUUUGCUCAUACCAGUGGAUGCCAAGAUUAAACGGUAUUGACCUUAGAUAUUUAAAGGAGUCAACUUCUAAUGUUUAGCCAUUCCAUUGUAUGCAACAUCUAGUACAAUUUCGAACUAUUAUUUUGUGAUUUUUUUCUGCACUGAUUCCAAUGUUAACUGCUCUAGCUGCAGCAUUCAUUUUGUAAUGAAGAUCUUGUACCUGGUCUGCAUUUUCAAUGAGGUCUAUAUCAUCUGCAAACCUGAGACUAGAAAUAGGCUGCUCUUUUAUGGUUCAGCCAGGAGUGUAUCCUUCUCAAGUGACUAUAGUUUCCAUCAUAAUAUGCUCCAGAAAUAUGUUAAAAAAAGAAGUGAUAACAGACUAGUCUAAGCAAAAAUAUUGUUGUGUACUUAAGAUAUUAAAUUGUCUGCUUUGAAAUCCAAAGUUUGUGGGGAAUUACAAGUAUAAAAUUUAUAUUUAUGAGAUGAUCCAUAGUGGCUUUACUUAGAGCUAAAUGGUAAUUUAAAGUGAAACAAUGUUCAUAUGAUAAGUUUUGUACAUAUUUGGCUAUUAAUUUCUUGUACCAAAGAAAAUGUCCUUUCUUUAUCUUACUUGCUAUGUAAUAAAAAUGCAUUCCAAUUUGUAAACUUAAAAAUUAGGAGACAUUUUCUAUUGUAUAAUAGUGUGUGUAAAAUAAUUGUAUUAAAUUGCGUACACUAAUAUACUGAUUGCUGGGAAGCUGUCUUUUUAAACUAAAGACUUAUUGUAAACUAUUUUUAAUCAAUUUUCUGUUGAACAAAAUGGUGAAUGAUUGCUUAUUUUUUUUUGGAUAACAUGUUUCUCAAAUAUGAAGCAGUAUCUUAUCUUAUAUGAUACAGAUGUUACUUCAAAAUAGAAGAUGAUAACGUCCUACGCGUCAUGCAUAUUAACCAAUGACCUAUAUUCUUCCAAGUAGUUAUACCUGGCUAGCUCAGGCAACCCAUUCCAUGCUCUAAUAGCACUUGGGAAGAAAGAGCACUUGUACAAAUUUGUCCUAGCAUAAUGAAUGAGGAAUGUGCCUUUAUCUUUCUCUUCCUGAGUAUUUUAUUAGAUUUUGUAUUUGAAGAUUAUGGUUCAGUGUUUUAUGUAUAAUUGCUACCUUACUUUUAAGUCUUCUAUCCUGAAGGCUUUCUAAAUUUUGUGAUUUUACUAAAGGUGUUACUCUAGUCAAGUGUGAAUAUUCUUUUUUUAUGAAUCUCACUGCUCUAUUUUGUGUCUGUUCCAGUUUCUUAAUGUUUUCUUGAGAUGAGGGGUCCCAAACAGAGGAUGCAUAUUCCAUUAUUGGCCUAACCAAGGUUAAAUAACAUUUUAGUUUUUACGUUCUUAUUUGAUUUAUAUAAAUUUCUUUUAAUAAACCCUAAUGCUUUGAUUUUUUUUUUAUAGUUUCAUCAAUAUGGGGAUUCCAUGACAGUUUUUCGUUUAUUAUAACACCUAGGUAUUUUGCAUUUUUAGUCUGUGUUACUGGUUUACCAUGAAUAAGAUAAGUGGAAUUAAUUUGUUUUAGUUUUUUUUUUGUUACUCUUAAUAACUGACAUUUUUCUGGGUGGAAAGACAUGCUUCAAUUUGAUUCCCAUUUCUGUAAUUCACCUAAUUCUCUUUGUAAAAUUUCUGUAUCAGUACACAGUACCAUAGCAGAUCAAGUCAUGUAGACCUGAUGUGCUAUUAAUUUUAAUUUAUGAUUUCUGAUUAAUUUGAUAAAAAGAGUACAUAAAAACAAGAUGUUCAUAACACGAAUCUCAAUUAUUGAGAUUAACUCUUUAUAUCCGUGAUUAUUUUUCAUGUUCUGACAGAAUUGUUUCUUUUUUCACAUUUGUACAUUCUACCCUGUUAUGAUUAAACUUCAAUAACAUUUUUGUUUAGAAUUAUAGGAGAAUGCAUGCUCUUUUUACAUAACACAAAUACACUUUUGUAAAACCAAAAGUUAAUUUAAUUUAAUGGGGUCAAAUCAACAAUGGUAUAGUUAAUUAGGAGAGAAAGAGUUAAAGCCACAGCAUGAAUAUUAUUAGUUGAUAAUUUACUGUAGCUGGAAAAAAUAAUUUCUUUACUUCUGAAUUGAAAAGGAUAGCUUUCUACUGUGGGCUUCAGAAAACUUGAUCAGGGUCACUUGUAUUUAAUAACUUAUAAAAUUAAGAAUUCCAAGAUGAAUAUUCAUUUAAUGUAUAUAAAAAUAAAACAAAAUGUUAAAAAAAAAAAAAAAAAA